rnacentral:sRNA from 1 species
AUUCACAACAAACCUACAGAUCUGUGUCCUGCGAUCCUGGCCACGGAUAAGUUGCUUGCUCGUCAAGCGACGGUUCUGUGUGUCGGUUGAUUGCUCGACAGUUCGACGACCAAGGAGCCAUCACUACGCCUUUCACGGCGUAGGAAAUGGUGUCAAUUUCCGGUCGACAGAUCUCAGAGCGAAGGCCAGCUCCGGUGCUUCACUCCGGUCUUGAGCUCCCUUUCUCUUCUCCCCUCUGGGGAGGGAGAUUGGUGAGCUCGGCCGGAUGGCCUGGUUGCUGGCGGCGUCAUAUUCCCAGUCCCUUUGCCGAGGCCGUUGGCCGGUGAGGUUAGGGAAAAACCAUGACAUGCCAACAUUA